UACGUAGGGUGCAAGCGUUAAUCGGAAUUACUGGGCGUAAAGCGUGCGCAGGCGGUUAUGUAAGACAGUUGUGAAAUCCCUGGGCUCAACCUGGGAAUUGCAUCUGUGACUGCAUAGCUAGAGUACGGUAGAGGGGGAUGGAAUUCCGCGUGUAGCAGUGAAAUGCGUAGAUAUGCGGAGGAACACCGAUGGCGAAGGCAAUCCCCUGGACCUGUACUGACGCUCAUGCACGAAAGCGUGGGGAGCAAACAGG
rnacentral:rRNA from 1 species